AGGUGUCAGGGCGGCCACCGGGGAACGGGGAUCGGUGACCCCGGUGGGGAAGGGGGAAGAUCGUUCAUAUGGACAAAAGCGGAGGUGCGGAACGGCUGCAUUUUCCACGGAGGCUAGUGCACAGAUGUCAGGGUUGACCGGCUGCUGUCGUUACGCCCUCGGAGCUUCACAUCACACUGUACAGAGGGAGCGGUGACCAGGGUCUCUGCUGCCAGCGCCACCUCGUCCAGGUUUUCAUAGCGCACAGGGAGUCGGGCGGAUGCGCAACAUCUCCGCACAGGGUCAGGAAGCGGCGGUCAGGCACCGAGAAAACAGCCCAGUUACGUGAGGCAGUGUCCGGGGCUUAACGUUUCCGCCGAGCUAAUAGAUUUGGGAGGCUCCGACCCUGAUUUUCACACUAGCAGGAGGGAGGGCGCUGGGUCACCCUCCUAUGCAGAAGGGCAGCCAAGGGUGCGCACUUCCCCAUCCCCUGCCUGGAGCCUCACUUCCAGCCCAGCCUGGGCCCGCAGACCACCGCGGGUGGGAGUGCCGCAUCGGAGAGAAACUCACUGCAGAGCUGGGCUGUGUGCAGAUUUCCACCUUUGAGCUAAGAUAGGAUGAGGCAUAAGAGUCCUGCAGAUGGGCCUCUUUUUGAGGGCAAUGAAGGGGCAAAGAGGAAGCUGUAAAAAAAAAAAAA
rnacentral:lncRNA from 1 species